UACGAAGGGGGCUAGCGUUGCUCGGAAUGACUGGGCGUAAAGGGCGCGUAGGCGGCUUGUACAGUCAGAUGUGAAAUUCCUGGGCUCAACCUGGGGACUGCAUUUGAUACGUGCGGGCUUGAGUUCGGAAGAGGGUCGUGGAAUUCCCAGUGUAGAGGUGAAAUUCGUAGAUAUUGGGAAGAACACCGGUGGCGAAGGCGGCUCUCUGGGACGGUACUGACGCUGAGACGCGAAAGCGUGGGGAGCGAACAGG
rnacentral:rRNA from 1 species